CUCCUUGUGUGGGCGCACUCCUGCUCCAACGGGGGGGCUGUUCGCAGGCUUUGACUGCCGCUAACGGUUCCCCUUUCAUCAAAGCCCACGGCAGUGGCAGCCAGAAGGAGCAAAGAGACGGAUUACUGUCUGAGGGGGGGGGGGGCGAGUGUUUGGAUGCACCACACUGGGUUCACAGGCAUUUGAUAUCUUCCCUACACAUUUGGGAUUGGACUGGAGGAGGUGGAGGCUGGUUUACCUGUGAAGUAUGACAAUGAGCGGGGGAUUAAAUAUGAGAACUGGAUGAGCUUUCACAGCGUGGCCACACCAGAUACUGUUUAAUCCACCUUAUAGCCUUCAGAAUUGUUUUCAUUCAAAAUACCACAGUAUCACGGGUAAGACAGCGCCGUACCAAUCUCAAUGAACGGACACGUAAAUGACAUGUAAUGUGAUGUAAUGUGAUGUAAUGUAAUAUGAUGCAACUCCUCUGAAUGCUUCAGAUGGGUUUAUUAUGUAUGUGAAUGCAGAAAUACAGUAAUAAAGUAAAAUCACCUGACCUUCGCUGCAAUGUUGGUAAAUACUGGUAGAUUUCCAUGAUGAGCUUAACAAAGCUCUGAAGACCUAAAGGCCAUUAAGGCCCAGACCCAUCUGAAAUCAAUUGUGUGAGGCCUCACCUCAUGGGGGGAAAGUAAAUGUGCACGUGUCUCGCCUCAACCGCCUUGACACCGCUGACCUUUAGGGGAUGAAGUUGAAGUUUGCCUCCCUUAUGGCGCCAAUUGCAAAGGAGCGCGGCGUGAGUGCGGUCCAGAGAUCGCCGCUUUCCUCUGUGACAUUCGGGAUUCAGAGCGCCACAAUCAGUCUGCAGGGGCCGGGUGUCGGAGCGGCUCCCAGCGGGGGGCCCCGCUGAGAAUGCUGCCGAAAGCAAACCAGCCGAUUAAGGAGAAUCAAAGUGCUCUUUAACCGAUCGGCGCCUCGUUUUUUCCAGAUACAGUAAGAGAAGGUGUUGAAAAUAUAAAACAAUAACGAGCAUCUGAGAGCUCCCUGCUGCCUCAUUAGCCAUCAGACUUUUGACUGUUAAAAUCACAAUUGAUGUAUCACAUUUUAAAUUUAGAAGAUAACCGUUUAAACUUCUGUGUUGAAACAAGUUCCGGUGUGUUUUGCAUUUUGAGUGUUUCCAUUGAUGCUUGAAAGAAUGUUUAGGCCUGAUUACAGGAUUUUGAUGCUUUUGUCUAAGCUUUAACUUUCCGUGUGCAAUCGCAAAAAGUCCAUUUUUUUCCCCACUUUAAAAGAUACUUUUGUUUUUAACGUUCCAUAUUUUUUUCCUUUGAGGCCUCAAUGCUUUGCAAAAAGGACGAAAGCGCAUGAAUCACUUCAAAGUGUCCCGUUGGAAACCGUUUCCGUGUGUUGUGAGCUCAUUGCAGUGCGUCCUCUGAUGUGUGUCAUCAAAAUGAUGUUGUGUGUCGCCGUGUUGUUUUCGCAGAUUUCUCUUUCCGUCACAUAUUUAUCUGUUUUUCUACACUGUUGAAGCUUUUGUGAAAAUUAUAUCCAAACAGCGUGCAACACAGAGAAUAGGUCCUAUACAACAAAGUCCCAGCAAACCUGUGACAUAUCGUGAAAACAUUAAACGUCAGAUACAGUAAGGCAUUAAGGAUUCAUAAAAUAUUUUUAAUAAUCAUGGCAUACUAUAUAAUGCAUGUUAGUUAUGAGUUAAAUUGUUCUCGUACUUACCCAGAGUUGUAACGAUGCCCACAGAGGCGCAACUUUAUGGAAUAUUUCUCCAAAAUGUGCUCCUCAAAGUAUCAACAUAAAUAAUUGGUUGAACCAUUUAGAAGCAGCGGAAGGUCGGCGCCCGUUUCGCUCAUUAGCAGGACACACAUUGUCAGAAGCUGUGACCCUUGGCUCCUGUACUUUUUCAGAAGAGGCGCCGAUCGCAACGACUUUGGCUAAGAAGCGAUGUUCUCCCUCUGUGGUUGUCCCUAAAAAUGCAGGACAGACCUCCAGAGUUUUGUUUAUCCAGUGAGCCGAAAGAACAAAGGUCCAGCAGCGUCUGAUCUGAAGGCAAACGAGGCCCUGAGAUAAGAUCAGGCCGAGGAUCCGCGUGAGAUCCGCGUCGCGCCAGAGGAAGCCUUGUUUUUGACAUUGAGCAGAAAUGGGACGAUGAUAAAACACGAGGAAAUCAAGCUUGUCAGACGUGUCUCCGCCUUUUAUCAGCAGGCGGGCGACAUUACCGCCGGAUUCACGUAUCACCCUUCAAACGUCUUUGAAGCCUUUUUCACACAACAAAUCUGCAUUCAUUGUUCCAGCGAAUGCGCCGCGAGCCUCUGAACCCUUUUGCACGCGCAACGCGCUCCUUCUGCCGCCGGAGCGCCAAGCAAAGCGUCGACGCGCCACGUGGAAAAGUAUUUAGUGGAACGGAUGUGAAAAGUGGGCGCUGCGGGUUUAAGGAGAGGAAUUGACGCGGCGACACCAACAACCUGAGAUGCCAGAAUCUCACGCGGGACCCGCAGCUACGUCUUGCUCCUCACCAAGCGGCGCCGCCGUUGAACCCGCAGCGCCCAAUAUCGCCUCCAAAAUGUUGGAUAAAUGAACACCGACGUUAAAUUAGGUCAUGUUCAUUAAUUCAUUGCUUCAGGUCUGAUUUAUAAAAUACUAUGUGUAUUUUUGAGAGUACAACUAACGAUGCAGCACCAAUAAUACAUCUGGUUUGACAUCUGGCUGUAUGAUGAAGCCGAGAGGGCUUUUUAAUAAUCUGUCAACGAUUUCGUUAUACUGAUUAACAACAUUAUCGGCCGUCACAGUUCACUGAAUUUCCAAAUUAGCAACUUGUCAAUAAAAAGUCCACCAUUCAAAUUUUGCCUCCUCCAAAGGCCACAGAAUCUCAUUUGCAACGUUUCCAUGCAAGUAACAACACAGCGUUACGGGAUUGCAGGCCAAAGGAUCCUCUUCUGCCGCGUGAAUAUUGCGAGUUCAAUGCGCACCCAGUCACGUUUGAGCCCGUUUGAUUCUAUUGACGGCGAGCAGUUUGCAGCGUUGCGUGACGUGCUGCUCCCGCCAGACACCCAUCAAAGGCCCCGACAGCCGGGAUGCUGCGGAGCCAAAACCGCACGGGCGUUUCCGCCGCUGGGAUACUGUUGUGGCGCCUCGACCACGCGUUUAAGGGCCGUGCGUCCUCGUCCCCCUGUAUACCAUUUCCAUAUAGAGUGCCUGUCCAUCAUUUCCAUUUUGAUAUCGCAGGAGAGGCGGGACGGAAAGAGAGGAGCGACGGCGAUGCGACGCGGAGGGCGGUGGAUGGGAGACGGCGAAGGAGCCGAGCGGAGGGAACGGUUGCACAUUCGACGCCGUGCUUCGGAUGCUGUGCCUCGAUAUUGAUUCAAACUGGCUGUGAAAGGGAGGAGGGGACCCACGGCCACAGAGGCUCCUGUAACCUCGGCACACAUUUUGGGUUAUAGUUUGUACCCAAAACACAUCCAUGAGCGCAGAUUUCCUUGCGGAAACGCACCGUUUUCCCCCCUCAGUCCCCCCUCGACUCCUGUUCAGUCGGAAGCUUUCAACGUGGUUUUAGUGUCUGCACAUGUUGUUGCUCACAGGGUGUGUCGUUCACGAGAGGUCACCUUGUCUCCAGAACCAAGAGCCUCAUUAAGAACCCGGCAUUGACCUCCUGUCGCCCCAAUUAUUACAUACAUUAAUUCCAUCGCCACUCACACACACACACACAGAAACACAGCUUCCCUGCACCGAUGGCUCGAUGAUUGUUUCUUUGGUUGCUGGAAUCAAUCAGGGCUCCGGGUUUCAGUUCAGGUAAUUGGAGUCUGCUAACGAGCGAGGAACGCACAGCCGCGUCGACGCGAAUAAAACCCUCUUAGCUGGAAGCGAAAUGAGCGGAAAAAAGCCGCGCGACCUUUGCUCCAUCACUUCCGGCUGAGUCGCAGUGCUUCCAACCGCUGCCGCGUGCCACUCAGACGCCGCUUCACACUCGCUAAAGCAGCGGCAGGUG
ensembl:lncRNA